rnacentral:rRNA from 1 species
GUUUCCGUAGGUGAACCUGCGGAAGGAUCAUUGUCGAAACCUGCACAGCAGAACGACCCGCGAACCCGUCUCGACAUCGGGGGCCUGCGGGCCUCGUGCCCGUGCGCUCCCACCCGCGCGCCGUGUGGGGGGUCGGACAAACGNUCCNGCGUGNGUYCGCCYUNNNGCGGNNNGUUAACNAACCCCCGGNNCAAAUCNNNUNAAGGAAAUUUNAACRARANAGUUCYYUCCCNUNGCCCCRNACACGGGUGUGCGCGGRACGUGCGGCCUUUCUUUCAUUAUCUAUAACGACUCUCGGCAACGGAUAUCUCGGCUCUCGCAUCGAUGAAGAACGUAGCGAAAUGCGAUACUUGGUGUGAAUUGCAGAAUCCCGUGAACCAUCGAGUCUUUGAACGCAAGUUGCGCCCCAAGCCGUCAGGCCGAGGGCACGUCUGCCUGGGUGUCACGCAUCGUCGCCCCCAUCCACACGUCUUGAGGCGUCGUGGCCGUGGGCGGAAAAUGGCCUCCCGUGUGCACGUGCGCGCGGCUGGCCCAAAAUCUGAGUCCUCGGUGACGCUCCCCGCGACAAUCGGUGGCGUUCGGAACGGAACCUAGUGAUCCCGUCGCGCGGUAGCGUCGUCCCGUCCACGGACUCGUCGACCCUCGAGGGCGGGCAAAGGCCCGUCCGCGUCGCGACCCAGGUCAG